rnacentral:rRNA from 1 species
CUUGAUGUGUAGGAUAGGUGGGAGGCUUUGAAGCGUGGACGCCAGUCUGCGUGGAGCCAACCUUGAAAUACCACCCUUUAAUGUUUGAUGUUCUAACGUGGACCCGUAAUCCGGGUUGCGGACAGUGUCUGGUGGGUAGUUUGACUGGGGCGGUCUCCUCCUAAAGAGUAACGGAGGAGCACGAAGGUUGGCUAAUCCUGGUCGGACAUCAGGAGGUUAGUGCAAUGGCAUAAGCCAGCUUGACUGCGAGCGUGACGGCGCGAGCAGGUGCGAAAGCAGGUCAUAGUGAUCCGGUGGUUCUGAAUGGAAGGGCCAUCGCUCAACGGAUAAAAGGUACUCCGGGGAUAACAGGCUGAUACCGCCCAAGAGUUCAUAUCGACGGCGGUGUUUGGCACCUCGAUGUCGGCUCAUCACAUCCUGGGGCUGAAGUAGGUCCCAAGGGUAUGGCUGUUCGCCAUUUAAAGUGGUACGCGAGCUGGGUUUAGAACGUCGUGAGACAGUUCGGUCCCUAUCUGCCGUGGGCGCUGGAGAACUGAGGGGGGCUGCUCCUAGUACGAGAGGACCGGAGUGGACGCAUCACUGGUGUUCGGGUUGUCAUGCCAAUGGCACUGCCCGGUAGCUAAAUGCGGAAGAGAUAAGUGCUGAAAGCAUCUAAGCACGAAACUUGCCCCGAGAUGAGUUCUCCCUGAGACUUAGAGUCUCCUGAAGGAACGUUGAAGACGACGACGUUGAUAGGCCGGGUGUGUAAGCGCAGCGAUGCGUUGAGCUAACCGGUACUAAUGAACCGUGAGGCUUAACCUUACA